AUACAGAGGUCUCAACCGUUGUUCGGAUUCAUUGGGCGUAAAGGGUGCGUAGGCGGUCGCGCAAGUCGGAUGUGAAAUCUCAGGGCUCAACCCUGAAACUGCAUUCGAUACUGCGUGGCUAGAGUGCUGGAGAGGAGACUGGAAUUUACGGUGUAGCAGUGAAAUGCGUAGAUAUCGUAAGGAAGACCAGUGGCGAAGGCGAGUCUCUGGACAGCAACUGACGCUGAGGCACGAAGGCCAGGGGAGCAAACGGGA
rnacentral:rRNA from 1 species